UACGGAGGGGGCUAGCGUUGUUCGGAAUUACUGGGCGUAAAGCGCACGUAGGCGGAUAUUUAAGUUAGGGGUGAAAUCCCGGGGCUCAACCCCGGAACUGCCUUUGAUACUGGGUAUCUGGAGGUCGAGAGAGGCGAGUGGAAUUCCGAGUGUAGAGGUGAAAUUCGUAGAUAUUCGGAGGAACACCAGUGGCGAAGGCGGCUCGCUGGCUCGAUACUGACGCUGAGGUGCGAAAGCGUGGGGAGCAAACAGG
rnacentral:rRNA from 1 species